UGGGGAAUAUUGGACAAUGGGCGAAAGCCUGAUCCAGCCAUGCCGCGUGUGUGAAGAAGGUCUUCGGAUUGUAAAGCACUUUAAGUUGGGAGGAAGGGCAGUAAGCGAAUACCUUGCUGUUUUGACGUUACCGACAGAAUAAGCACCGGCUAACUCUGUGCCAGCAGCCGCGGUAAUACAGAGGGUGCAAGCGUUAAUCGGAAUUACUGGGCGUAAAGCGCGCGUAGGUGGUUCGUUAAGUUGAAUGUGAAAGCCCCGGGCUCAACCUGGGAACUGCAUCCAAAGCUGGCGAGCUAGAGGAGGGCAGAGGGUGGUGGAAUUUCCUGUGUAGCGGUGAAAUGCGUAGAUAUAGGAAGGAACACCAGUGGCGAAGGCGACCACCUGGGCUCAUACUGACACUGAGGUGCGAAAGCGUGGGGAGCAAACAGG
rnacentral:rRNA from 1 species